rnacentral:rRNA from 1 species
CUACGGGCUGCUCCAGUGGGGAAUAUUGCACAAUGGGCGCAAGCCUGAUGCAGCCAUGCCGCGUGUAUGAAGAAGGCCUUCGGGUUGUAAAGUACUUUCAGCGGGGAGGAAGGGAGUAAAGUUAAUACCUUUGCUCAUUGACGUUACCCGCAGAAGAAGCACCGGCUAACUCCGUGCCAGCAGCCGCGGUAAUACGGAGGGUGCAAGCGUUAGUCGGAAUUACUGGGCGUAAAGCGCACGCAGGCGGUUUGUUAAGUCAGAUGUGAAAUCCCCGGGCUCAACCUGGGAACUGCAUCUGAUACUGGCAAGCUUGAGUCUCGUAGAGGGGGGUAGAAUUCCAGGUGUAGCGGUGAAAUGCGUAGAGAUCUGGAGGAAUACCGGUGGCGAAGGCGGCCCCCUGGACGAAGACUGACGCUCAGGUGCGAAAGCGUGGGGAGCAAACAGGAUUAGAUACCCCUGUAGUC